AGAGUUUGAUCAUGGCUCAGGAUGAACGCUAGCGGCAGGCUUAACACAUGCAAGUCGAGGGGCAGCACGGUAGCAAUACUGGUGGCGACCGGCAAACGGGUGCGGAACACGUACAGAACCUACCUUGAUCUGGGGCAUAGCCCGAAGAAAUUCGGAUUAACUCCCCAUAAUAUAAUUGAGUGGCAUCAUUUGAUUAUUAAAAAUUUAUUGGAUCGAGAUGGCUGUGCGUCCCAUUAGCUAGUUGGUAGGGUAACGGCCUACCAAGGCGACGAUGGGUAGCUGGUGUGAGAGCACGACCAGCCACACGGGCACUGAGACACGGGCCCGACUCCUACGGGAGGCAGCAGUGAGGAAUAUUGGUCAAUGGACGCAAGUCUGAACCAGCCAUGCCGCGUGAAGGAUGAAGGCCUUCUGGGUUGUAAACUUCUUUUACCUGGGAAGAAACCUCAGUUUUCUAACUGAGUUGACGGUACCAGAGGAAUAAGCACCGGCUAACUCCGUGCCAGCAGCCGCGGUAAUACGGAGGGUGCAAGCGUUAUCCGGAUUUACUGGGUUUAAAGGGUGUGUAGGCGGGCUUUUAAGUCAGUGGUGAAAUCUCCGGGCUCAACCCGGAAACUGCCAUUGAUACUAUUAGUCUUGAAUUUUGUUGAGGUAGGCGGAAUAAGUCAUAGCGGUGAAAUGCAUAGAUAUGACUUAGAACACCAAUUGCGAAGGCAGCUUGCUAAACAAAUAUUGACGCUGAGGCACGAAAGCGUGGGGAUCAAACAGGAUUAGAUACCCUAGUAGUCC
rnacentral:rRNA from 1 species